GGAUCUUUCAAAUGUCUGCCCUAUCAAUUUUCGAUGGUAGGUGACCUGCCUACCAUGGUGAUAACGGGUAACGGGGAAUCAGGGUUCGAUUCCGGAGAGGGAGCCUGAGAAACGGCUACCACUUCCAAGGAAGGCAGCAGGCGCGCAAAUUACCCAAUCCCGGAACGGGGAGGUAGUGACGAAAAAUACGGAUACGGGACUCGUUAGAGGCUCCGUAAUUCGAAUGAGUACAUUUUAAAUCCUUUAACGAGGAUCAACUGGAGGGCAAGUCUGGUGCCAGCAGCCGCGGUAACUCCAGCUCCAGAAGCGUAUAUUAAAGUUGUUGCAGUUAAAAAGCUCGUAGUUGGAUCUGGGUCGCAUGGCUACAUGCCGUUGCUCGUAUCCUGGUCUGGUUCACACCGGGACAGGUUUAUGGGUCGGUGUCGUGGUUGUGCAGCCUUUCUGCCGUGUCUGUUUCGACAGGUGUUAGCAUGAUUGGUGGGUUCGUCCUGCUGGUCUGUUGACAUGCUUCCAGGUGCCCUUUGCUGGGUGUCGGGGGCGGACGGCACGUUUACUUUGAACAAAUUUGAGUGCUCAAAGCAGGCCCAUGUGCCUGAAAAUUCUUGCAUGGAAUAAUGGAAUAGGACUUCGGUUCUAUUUUGUUGGUUUUCGGAUCCGAAGUAAUGGUUAAAAGGGACAGACGGGGGCAUUUGUAUGGCGGUGUUAGAGGUGAAAUUCUUGGAUCGCCGCCAGACAAACUACAGCGAAAGCAUUUGCCAAGGAUGUUUUCAUUGAUCUGGAGCGAAAGUCAGAGGUUCGAAGACGAUCAGAUACCGUCCUAGUUCUGACCAUAAACGAUGCCAACUGACGA
rnacentral:rRNA from 1 species